UGCAGGUACUACACAAUGUGAUGCACAGCCCCAGGCUUUGAAGACUGCACAGACAGGGCAGCCAGUGGACCAAUCGUGACAUGACAAUAUGUACCUGGUCUCUUUAUAAAUUACAACAGAAAAGGACAAUUCAGGAAUUGUCAGUCUCAGAAGGGGAAUCACAGGUUGCUUUGUGCGCUAGUCACACAUGGACAGAAGCAGCCACUUCCAAGGCUCCCAGCCUGCACCCCGACUGAGCAGGGAGAUGAGAACCACCCCCGGAAUCAAACCUCAGCUCCGAGAACCAACACCUGCACCAGCUCUCCCUAAGCAACACCUGUAUGGAGCCCUCCACUGCGUUUCUUCAGGUCUGCUAUACUUGGCUGCGCUCCCUGAGGCCACAUACUUCUCUACAACACUGAGAUGUGCUGGUUUCUCAAUCUGCUCUGCAUCCCCUGCACACUGCCCAGAAGGCUCGGCUUCCCACACCAUCCAAAUGAGGGUACUAAAAGCAAGAUCCACAUCCUGCCUGAUCCUGUUUUCCAGAUCACUCUUCCUUCUGCCUGUGGAAAGUCGCAGCUCCUCAAUACCACCUGUGAGCAGGACUCAAAUUUUGUAGGAGGUAGCUGCUGGCAAAACUGAAGACUACUAUCGCACUGAAGAAGGAAAGGGUCUA
rnacentral:lncRNA from 1 species